rnacentral:rRNA from 1 species
AGAGUGAACGCUGGCGGCAGGCCUAACACAUGCAAGUCGAACGGCAGCACAGGGGAGCUUGCUCCCUGGGUGGCGAGUGGCGGACGGGUGAGGAAAACGUCGGAAUCUGCCUAUUUGUGGGGGAUAACGUAGGGAAACUUACGCUAAUACCGCAUACGACCUACGGGUGAAAGCGGAGGACCUUCGGGCUUCGCGCAGAUAGAUGAGCCGACGUCGGAUUAGCUA